rnacentral:tRNA from 1 species
GCUGGGAUAGCUCAGUUGGUGGAGCAUGAGACUCUUAAUCACAGAGUUGUGGGUUCAAGCCCCACAUUGGGCA